GAUGAACGCUGGCGGCGUGCCUAAUACAUGCAAGUCGAGCGAACGGACGAGAAGCUUGCUUUUCUGAUGUUAGCGGCGGACGGGUGAGUAACACGUGGAUAACCUACCUAUAAGACUGGGAUAACUUCGGGAAACCGGAGCUAAUACCGGGUAAUAUUUUGAACCGCAUGGUUCAAAAGUGAAAGACGGUCUUGCUGUCACUUAUAGAUGGAUCCGCGCUGCAUUAGCUAGUUGGUAAGGUAACGGCUUACCAAGGCAACGAUGCAUAGCCGACCUGAGAGGGUGAUCGGCCACACUGGAACUGAGACACGGUCCAGACUCCUACGGGAGGCAGCAGUAGGGAAUCUUCCGCAAUGGGCGAAAGCCUGACGGAGCAACGACGCGUGAGUGAUGAAGGUCUUCGGAUCGUAAAACUCUGUUAUUAGGGAAGAACAUAUGUGUAAGUAACUGUGCACAUCUUGACGGUACCUAAUCAGAAAGCCACGGCUAACUACGGG
rnacentral:rRNA from 1 species